GCAUUGGUGGUGCAUGGUGCACGUUGCCAUUAAACGGGAAGCUUGAAAAUCAGUGUUUCAGGCACAUCGGGGUUCGAUUCCCUGCCGGUGCA